GACGAAAGCUGGCGGCGUGCCUAAUAACUGCAAGUCGAACGCAGUGGGGACGGGUGAGUAACACGUGGGUAACCUCCCAACAGAGGGGAUAACACUUGGCAACAGGUGCUAAACCGAUAGUUGUGGAUGGACCCGCGGGUCAGUAGCUAGUUGGGGAGGUAACGGCUGACCAAGGCCACGAUGCAUAGCCGACCUGAGAGGGUGAUCGGCCACACUGGGACUGAGACACGGCCCAGACUCCUACGGGAGGCAGCAGUAGGGAAUCUUCGGCAAUGGACGAAAGUCUGACCGAGCAACGCCGCGUGAGUGAAGAAGGUUUUCGGAUCGUAAAACUCUGUUGUUAGAGAAGCGGUAUCUAACCAGAAAGCCACGGCUAACUACGUGCCAGCCGCCGCGGUAAUAC
rnacentral:rRNA from 1 species